rnacentral:lncRNA from 1 species
CGGGAUAUAGUUUCAUGUCUCGCUGUUUUUUCUGGAUCAGGGCAAGAUUUAUGGUCAGUAUUCAUAAACAGCGACACAUGGGAAGAUACGUUGUGCAACCACCAGUGACGUCCAACUCAGUAUGCGCAAGAUAAUGUACAUACGGUAAAAAUUGUCAAGUAUGCUUUCGUCUUCGUACUUCGUUGUCUUGCUCAAACUCUCUAUU